CUAAGACCAGUGUGGAGGCUUGUAGAACUCUGCAGAGGAAAAUCUAAGCUCACCUACCUACAAGAGCCCUCCUAUACAGCUCAGGCUAGGAGAGAAAGGGGGAGGAACGGACAAUCAUGCAAAAGCCUUGGACCAGCACAUUCAAAAGCCUGCGGGCUGGAAAGCACCUACAGUAAAAGACACUGAAUUCACUUGGCAUGGUGUGAGAUCGGCUGAGGGCAAGGAUG